CCCUUAGAUGUUCUGGGCCGCACACGCGCUACACUGAAGGAGGCAGCGUGUACUCCUGGAUCGAAAGAUUUGGGUAACCCGCGAAUCUCCUACGUGCUAGGGAUUGAGGUUUGCAAUUAUCCUUCAUGAACGAGGAAUUCUCAGUAAGUGCAAGUCAUAAGCUUGCGCUGACUACGUCCCUGCCCUUUGUACACACCGCCCGUCGCUACUACCGAUUGAAUGAUUUAGUGAGGACUUCGGACUGGGACCGAUGCGGCUUUCGGGCUGCGUCGGUAUUCUGGAAAGAUGUCCAAACUGUAUCAUUUAGAGGAAGUAAAANUCGUAACA
rnacentral:rRNA from 1 species